CCGAGGGGGCGGGCCGCCGGCGGGGCUCCCCCGCCAACUUGGGCGGGGAGGAAGGCGGAGGCGUCAGUGGGCACCUUUCCGAGGUGCUGCGUGCGGGCUGGAAGGCUGCCUGGUGUCACAUUGGGGCGAGUGGACGGUGGCGGAGCCGGAGAGCCCGGGGCUGAGGACCUUUCAGGCAGAAGCCAGCCAGAGGUCCCGUAGUGCUUAGAAGUGGAUCCCCCCAAAUCGCAGCCCCACCCCCACAACCCUGGGCGGCAGAGUGACAGUUGGUACCUCCUGGCCUGAUCGCAGCGGGCCAAGAGUCAGCGGCUUUGGGAUUCCCUUCAGCCCCUCGAUGACCCCCAACGGCAUAACAGGUUGAAGGCAGGGUGAGUGGUGCCGGAGGACAGACCUCGCCAUUCGAUCGUAUUUAGAAGAUAGCCACCCACUCGGAAGGGAAAGCUACAGUGGCCGAAGAAGCUGUGAUCUUUCAAGCAGGGCGCUGCCACUGGAGCACAGAGGAGGGUAUACAGAAGACAGCACGGGUGAUGGAGAUGAACGGGAACACACGGAGAAGCUAGUAUCCUGCAGGAAGCCAAGAUGAGGAGAGUCUUUUUAAAAUAAUCC
rnacentral:lncRNA from 1 species